rnacentral:rRNA from 1 species
AUUGAACGCUGGCGGCAGGCUUAACACAUGCAAGUCGAGCGGAGAUGAGGUGCUUGCACCUUAUCUUAGCGGCGGACGGGUGAGUAAUGCUUAGGAAUCUGCCUAUUAGUGGGGGACAACAUUCCGAAAGGAAUGCUAAUACCGCAUACGCCCUACGGGGGAAAGCAGGGGAUCUUCGGACCUUGCGCUAAUAGAUGAGCCUAAGUCGGACUAGCUAGUUGGUGGGGUAAAGGCCUACCCAGGCGACGAUCUGUAGCGGGUUUGGGAGGAUGAUCCGCCGCACUGGGACGGUGACACGGCCAAGGCUGCUUCGGGAGGCAGCAGGCGGGAAUAUUGGACAAUCGGCGGAAGCCUGAUCCAGCCAUGCCGCGUAUGUGAAGAAGGCCUUUUGGUUGUAAAGCACUUUAAGCGAGGAGGAGGCUACCUGGAUUAAUACUCUAGGAUAGUGGACGUUACUCACAGAAUAAGCACCGGCUAACUCUGUGCCAGCCGCCGCGGUAAGAC